AGGGCGCACGGUGGAUGCCUUGGCACUAGAAGCCGAUGAAGGACGUGACUAACGACGAAAUGCUUUGGGGAGCUGUAAGUGAGCAAUGAUCCAGAGAUGUCCGAAUGGGGGAACCCGGCAGGUAAUGCCUGUCACUCAUUACUGUUAAGGUAAUGUAGAGGAAGACGCAGUGAACUGAAACAUCUAAGUAGCUGCAGGAAGAGAAAGCAAAAGCGAUUGCCUUAGUAGCGGCGAGCGAAACGGCAAGAGGGCAAACCGAAGAGUUUACUCUUCGGGGUUGUAGGACUGCAACGUGGACUUAAAGAUUAUAGAAGAACUACCUGGGAAGGUAGGCCAAAGAGAGUAAUAGCCUCGUAUUCGAAAUAGUCUUUAUACCUAGCAGUAUCCUGAGUACGGCGAGACACGUGGAAUCUCGUCGGAAUCUGGGAGGACCAUCUCCCAACCCUAAAUACUCCCUAGUGACCGAUAGUGAACCAGUACCGUGAGGGAAAGGUGAAAAGCACCCCGGGAGGGGAGUGAAAUAGAACCUGAAACCGUGUGCCUACAACAAGUUCGAGCCCGUUAAUGGGUGAGAGCGUGCCUUUUGUAGAAUGAACCGGCGAGUUACGAUAUGAUGCGAGGUUAAGUUGAAGAGACGGAGCCGUAGGGAAACCGAGUCUGAAUAGGGCGCAUUAGUAUCAUGUCGUAGACCCGAAACCAUGUGACCUACCCAUGAGCAGGUUGAAGGUGCGGUAAAACGCACUGGAGGACCGAACCAGGGCACGUUGAAAAGUGCUUGGAUGACUUGUGGGUAGCGGAGAAAUUCCAAACGAACUUGGAGAUAGCUGGUUCUCUCCGAAAUAGCUUUAGGGCUAGCGUCGAUGUUAAGUCUCUUGGAGGUAGAGCACUGUUUGGGUGAGGGGUCCAUCCCGGAUUACCAAUCUCAGAUAAACUCCGAAUGCCAACGAGAUAUAAUCGGCAGUCAGACUGCGAGUGCUAAGAUCCGUAGUCGAAAGGGAAACAGCCCAGACCACCAGCUAAGGUCCCAAAAUAUAUGUUAAGUGGAAAAGGAUGUGGGGUUGCACAGACAACUAGGAUGUUAGCUUAGAAGCAGCUAUUCAUUCAAAGAGUGCGUAAUAGCUCACUAGUCGAGUGACCCUGCGCCGAAAAUGUACCGGGGCUAAAACAUAUUACCGAAGCUGUGGAUACCUUUAUAGGUAUGGUAGGAGAGCGUUCUAUGUGCGAAGAAGGUGUACCGUGAGGAGUGCUGGAGCGCAUAGAAGUGAGAAUGCCGGUAUGAGUAGCGAAAGACAGGUGAGAAUCCUGUCCACCGUAAGACUAAGGUUUCCAGGGGAAGGCUCGUCCGCCCUGGGUUAGUCGGGACCUAAGGAGAGACCGAAAGGUGUAUCCGAUGGACAACAGGUUGAUAUUCCUGUACUAGAGUAUGUAGUGAUGGAGGGACGCAGUAGGCUAACUAAAGCAGACGAUUGGAAGAGUCUGUCUAAGCAGUGAGGUGUGAAUUGAGUUAAAUGCUUAGUUCUAUAACAUUGAGCUGUGAUGGGGAGCGAAGUUUAGUAGCGAAGUUAGUGAUGUCACACUGCCAAGAAAAGCUUCUAGCGUUAAACAUACUCUACCCGUACCGCAAACCGACACAGGUAGUCGAGGCGAGUAGCCUCAGGUGAGCGAGAGAACUCUCGUUAAGGAACUCGGCAAAAUGACCCCGUAACUUCGGGAGAAGGGGUGCUGACUUUGGUCAGCCGCAGUGAAUAGGCCCAAGCAACUGUUUAUCAAAAACACAGCUCUCUGCUAAAUCGUAAGAUGAUGUAUAGGGGGUGACGCCUGCCCGGUGCUGGAAGGUUAAGAGGAGUGCUUAGCGUAAGCGAAGGUAUGAAUUGAAGCCCCAGUAAACGGCGGCCGUAACUAUAACGGUCCUAAGGUAGCGAAAUUCCUUGUCGGGUAAGUUCCGACCCGCACGAAAGGCGUAAUGAUUUGGGCACUGUCUCAACGAGAGACUCGGUGAAAUUUUAGUACCUGUGAAGAUGCAGGUUACCCGCGACAGGACGGAAAGACCCCAUGGAGCUUUACUGCAGUUUGAUAUUGAGUGUCUGUACCACAUGUACAGGAUAGGUAGGAGUCUAUGAGAUCGGGACGCCAGUUUCGAAGGAGACGCUGUUGGGAUACUACCCUUGUGUUAUGGCCACUCUAACCCGGAUAGGUGAUCCCUAUCGGAGACAGUGUCUGACGGGCAGUUUGACUGGGGCGGUCGCCUCCUAAAAGGUAACGGAGGCGCCCAAAGGUUCCCUCAGAAUGGUUGGAAAUCAUUCGUAGAGUGUAAAGGUAUAAGGGAGCUUGACUGCGAGAGCUACAACUCGAGCAGGGACGAAAGUCGGGCUUAGUGAUCCGGUGGUUCCGUAUGGAAGGGCCAUCGCUCAACGGAUAAAAGCUACCCUGGGGAUAACAGGCUUAUCUCCCCCAAGAGUUCACAUCGACGGGGAGGUUUGGCACCUCGAUGUCGGCUCAUCGCAUCCUGGGGCUGAAGUCGGUCCCAAGGGUUGGGCUGUUCGCCCAUUAAAGCGGUACGCGAGCUGGGUUCAGAACGUCGUGAGACAGUUCGGUCCCUAUCCGUCGCGGGCGUAGGAAAUUUGAGAGGAUCUGCUCCUAGUACGAGAGGACCAGAGUGGACUUACCGCUGGUGUACCAGUUGUUCUGCCAAGAGCAUCGCUGGGUAGCUAUGUAGGGAAGGGAUAAACGCUGAAAGCAUCUAAGUGUGAAACCCACCUCAAGAUGAGAUUUCCCAUGAUUUU
rnacentral:rRNA from 1 species